AUCCUGGGGGUGGAUGGGGAAUCCAGGAGUCAGGUUAAAUGUCACAGGGCUCCAUGUUGAUUUGACCCCUGACCUAGCUUUGGACGGCGAGUGGGCAGACCUUACCUGUGGCUCCUGCUUCUUGAGUGAAAAUCCCACCUACACCUGGUACAGGGACAAACAGCCUUUGAACUACACCAACAAGGUCAGGGUUAUGGCCAACUACCUGGAACUAGACCCGGUAAGCAGGGAAGAUGCAGGCAGCUACUCCUGUGCGGUGAGCAGCAGAGAGGAUUCCCUGGUCCGGCAGUGGUCCUUGUAGUGGGAUACUUCCCAAAGAACACCUCAGUGUCAGUCACAGUCAGUCCCUCUGGUGAAAUAGUGGAGGGCAGAUCAGUGACUCUGACCUGCAGCAGGGAUGCCAAGUCCCCAGUGGACAAAUACACCUGGUACAAGAAGAAUGAAGAACGGACGGGGUUCUCAGAAAAAGGAUCAGGGCAGAGUUACAUCAUCCUUAAAAUGAGCAAUGAGGACAGUGGGCAGUACUUCUGUAAGGCUGAGAAUCAAUACGGACCACUUGACUCUGCAACUGUGCAUCUCAGUAUAGCAGGUAAACCAGUGUUUCCCUGGGCUCCCGUUGUGGGGGUGGUGGCUGUGUUGGCAGCUGGAGCUCUGCUCGUCAUCCUCUAUGGCACACUGAAGAAGAGGUGA